rnacentral:tRNA from 1 species
AGGAUAAUAGUUAAUAGUACUAUAACAUUUAAAUUGCAAUUAAAAAUAAUUGAUAAAGCUCAAUUUAUCUUU